UCAUGAUCUGAUGAUUACUGAAAUCACGCAUGUUUACUAUACAUCGAUUGUCAUUGAGAACAGUACGAAACACUUUCUAGAGAAAGUUGGUUGACAUUUUCUAGCUACAGCCUUGGAAACGUAAAUCAACAGGUGGAAUGCUGCGAGGAUCCUGGAUGACCCACGAUAAUCAUUGAAAAAUGAAUAUUUUUUCAUUCAAUUUAUUUCUUUUUAUUUUGUUUUAAUUUCGUUUGAUUUUGUUUUAAAAUAGAAGUGAAUGGUAUUAUGAUGAAAUAUAUAAUACUUUUUUAUUUUAUAGCGCAAUCGAAUAAUGUACUAUUACACUAUGAUAGGUUUCAUUUUAUUUUAUAUCGUAAUAGGAUAGUACGAUAGACGCUAUACUGGAGUGUAACACACGCUUUUGGAACAUCAGUUACUUUUCUACGCGUUGUACUCCACCCAAUACUAAACUCACAGUACAAGUGAUAUUACGCAAGGUGUUUGAAGAUUUUAAUACUCAUAGUGGAAAUAUGACAUCUUUAAACAGUUCAAACAUCUACAACACUAAAACGCUGCUUAACAAAUACGGUAUUCAAUGUCGAAUAAGCGUAGACCCAGAAGUUCCUGUGUAAAUCGUUGUGAAUUUCCGAAAAUUUAGAUUAUUUACAAUGGUGUCGGCAUAGGAUAGUCUAAAUACACUUCAUCCGUCCUAACUGUGGUAAUGAAACGUUUCAGAACGUUCGUUACAGGUUCUUUAACCAUGCGAUUUAUACAGCUCUCUCGAGUUGUGUUGGCGCGAAGUAGGGAGUGUCAAAAAGGAGAAGACACAAUUCGAAGAGGAAUCCGCAUUCCAGCCUUGAAAUGCAUCGUAUACGAAUCACGUUGAUCCUAGAAACGAGUACCUAAACGUGUGAAUCCCAUGAAUUAGAAAUUACAUUUUCUUGAUUCAUAUUAUAAAACGAUUAUAGUGUACAUUGUAACUACGCUUUAUUUCUGUCCAGGGAAUCGGGAAAUCCACAAGGAAUGAGAUUCGAGGUCAAAGUUUUGAAGCUUUAAUUUUUACUGACAAGAAACUGAUACUUAAUUUCAUAUUCGAAUUAGUACGAUGAAUUCGCUGCUAUCCAUACAUUAACCUAAGAUUUUUGUAUAUAAUUUAAAUUGUGCGAAGAGCUUAAAAUGAAUAAUCUUUCAUAAAUUUUUCUUUCACGAUAACAAAUUUUCAUUUAGUUUUAUAUCAAAGCCUUGGAUAUGUCAAAACGAUCCAUUUAUUCGACUGGGGUACUAGCCAGAAGCACUCUAAAAUCAUCAGAUACUUUGAGACUGACAAUUCUAACCAAAGACGUCAGAAAGUCAAAAUAAAAAGAAAAGUUGCCGAUCCACGCCAUCAACGAGGAUGAAACAUGACAGAAGGGGGUCCUCCACAAAUAUGACACGAUGAGAACACAUUUGAGUACCUACUGCGAAAAGAAAUAGCGGGAAUGGUGGAGCGGCGAUGGACGUCUUUGCGUUCCGUGAAUUGACAUGACACACCUGCUCGUUCGAGUACGUACAGUUGCUGGAAAAGACACAGGAAGAUUAUAAAUUACAGUAUUAAGUAGGGACAAUGAUUGUUCUACCGUAUAGAUCUCGAAAGUUGUCUAGAGUAAAGAAUGCUCUCGCAUACAAUCAGUAUGCAUAGAUGCAUAGAUCCUAUUACAUCGUAUGACGAACAUUUUUUAAAUACUCUGCAAAGGAGAAGUUAGUUACAAAAUCUGAAGCUUUUUACUUUCCAUAAAAUGUCUCAAAACACCCAAUGCUCGAAACACUUGAAGUUUAACUCCUGGCCGAUUUACGAUUUCGUACAUUUCUUUCAGCAACUGUACAUAAGUUGAAGCGAAAAGGUUCGCGGUAUGACUGGUCUUCCUCUUGUAGACUCGUCUCUCAUUCCCUUUUCUCGCUUUGUCCAGGAGAAACCGACUUUGGAAGAAGGAUGAGCGAUGCGUGAUGCAACGAGAGGAGAACCGGUUGGACACGUGGUUUUCUCGUGCCUCUCAAUUUGUCUGCUUGAGGAACGAAGAGGCACGAGGCAAACACACUUGACGUGACUUCACGAGAAACGAACCGUUUUACGAUUGGAUAGUAAAUAGCAUAAUGUGUAGUUUGUUUAGAGGUUAUUUUAAUUUCUUCCUUUCUAUGUUGGGCUGGUUUGCGAUGAUCAAUUAAUUUGUAGAAGUAGAACAGUGAAUCAAAUAAUUACUACUCACAAUAAAUUUUCUUCUCUUUACAUAUUAUUUUAAUUCUAAUUACCAAACUGAAACCAAAACAAUCUUUUACGAGGAACAUAAAAUCACAAUAUUUUAGCACUAAUUUUUGUGUCCCUUUUCAUACAUAGUAGGUGCUGCGUGUAAAAAUAAAAAAAAAAAGAAAAAAUAAAUAAAAGAGAAUAAAAAGGAAAUAAAAUAUCGAUCAUCCACCGAUAGAACUGUGAAAUUUAUUUUUCGAUUUAUUUGUCAGUAAUAUCGCGAAGCUCGCGCCAUAUAUAGUUAGAGAUUGACGGAAAUAGAAAGAAUAAAUUGUUUUCCAACGAAGGUAUUGUUGUAUACGGACAAGAGUCGAGUUUCAGCUAGAAAUAAAAAGAGGGUCGAUUGUGUCUGCCUGUUCGAUCUUGAGACGUAUCUUUCAACGUAAUAAUACAGAUCUACGAGAAGGAACGACUCGAUACGAGCGAAGUUGCAGCGCAAAUAAAAUAACGAUUCCAGAGCCACAACGAGAUUACAAAUAUUUCAACGGAUAUACAUAAAUCAAUGAAUAUGCAGACGAAAAUAUGAAACUGUUCUAAGUUGACUGCCCGAGAUGGUGUGGAAAGACAAAGAAUCCAGUUCGUUCCAGUCGAAUCUAGCCACUAGUUCAUUCAGUCCUAUCGGCCACAGACGUCUAUCUCUCGCAAUAACAGCCUCCAUUGAUGAAAUUCUGAGGUCGAUAAACGACCAGCGGACCACGCAACAAAACAACGAUCACAAGGAGCCACGCGUCGUACUCCGAUUUAUGGCGUUCAACAGUGCCUGAGGGGAGGAGUUACCUCCAUGUCAUUUUUUUUUGCUCUUCAUGGACAGCUGCUGCUUCUGGCUAUGAGUGAAUUGCGUACCUCCAACUAUCACAACGUUUAUGAAUGAAUUAAAUUGAUGUUGUGACUCGAAUUAAACACUUGUUCUCUCAAAGUAGCAUAAUAGCGAGUUUUCGAUAAUACGUACUUCAAUUUCUAAUUUUGUUGAGGAAGCAAUAUAUAACGAAUAUACAGGGUGGUUGGUAACUGGUGGUACAAGCGGAAAGGGGGUGAUUCUACGCGAAAAAGGAAGUCGAAAAUAUAGAAUAAAAAUU